CUCCGAAUGCCAAUUAAUUUAACUUGGGAGUCAGAACAUGGGUGAUAAGGUCCGUGUUCGAAAGGGAAACAGCCCAGACCACCAGCUAAGGUCCCAAAAUAUAUGUUAAGUGGAAAAGGAUGUGGCGUUGCCCAGACAACUAGGAUGUUGGCUUAGAAGCAGCCAUCAUUUAAAGAGUGCGUAAUAGCUCACUAGUCGAGUGACACUGCGCCGAAAAUGUACCGGGGCUAAACAUAUUACCGAAGCUGUGGAUUGUCCUUUGGACAAUGGUAGGAGAGCGUUCUAAGGGCGUUGAAGCAUGAUCGUAAGGACAUGUGGAGCGCUUAGAAGUGAGAAUGCCGGUGUGAGUAGCGAAAGACGGGUGAGAAUCCCGUCCACCGAUUGACUAAGGUUUCCAGAGGAAGGCUCGUCCGCUCUGGGUUAGUCGGGUCCUAAGCUGAGGCCGACAGGCGUAGGCGAUGGAUAACAGGUUGAUAUUCCUGUACCACCUAUAAUCGUUUUAAUCGAUGGGGGGACGCAGUAGGAUAGGCGAAGCGUGCGAUUGGAUUGCACGUCUAAGCAGUAAGGCUGAGUAUUAGGCAAAUCCGGUACUCGUUAAGGCUGAGCUGUGAUGGGGAGAAGACAUUGUGUCUUCGAGUCGUUGAUUUCACACUGCCGAGAAAAGCCUCUAGAUAGAAAAUAGGUGCCCGUACCGCAAACCGACACAGGUAGUCAAGAUGAGAAUUCUAAGGUGAGCGAGCGAACUCUCGUUAAGGAACUCGGCAAAAUGACCCCGUAACUUCGGGAGAAGGGGUGCUCUUUAGGGUUAACGCCCAGAAGAGCCGCAGUGAAUAGGCCCAAGCGACUGUUUAUCAAAAACACAGGUCUCUGCUAAACCGUAAGGUGAUGUAUAGGGGCUGACGCCUGCCCGGUGCUGGAAGGUUAAGAGGAGUGGUUAGCUUCUGCGAAGCUACGAAUCGAAGCCCCAGUAAACGGCGGCCGUAACUAUAACGGUCCUAAGGUAGCGAAAUUCCUUGUCGGGUAAGUUCCGACCCGCACGAAAGGCGUAACGAUUUGGGCACUGUCUCAACGAGAGACUCGGUGAAAUCAUAGUACCUGUGAAGAUGCAGGUUACCCGCGACAGGACGGAAAGACCCCGUGGAGCUUUACUGUAGCCUGAUAUUGAAAUUCGGCACAGCUUGUACAGGAUAGGUAGGAGCCUUUGAAACGUGAGCGCUAGCUUACGUGGAGGCGCUGGUGGG
rnacentral:rRNA from 1 species